UCAUCGCGAUUACGGCAAUUCAAGGAAAUAUUCUUAUUUACGUGGCCGCGCGGUCCGUUGCAUCCGCGGGUUACAGUUGCACGCGGUGUUUAUUGUUUACCGCGGCGGUUUAUCGCGAGCGAGCGAGCCUCGCUCGAUGGCGACGCGUCAUCGCGACGAUUUCGCCGAGCCGAGCGAAAUUACGGUCUUCCAGAUUCCACGGAAUCGUUUUAAAUUCAUUAGGAGCUCAAUGUCAGCGCCACGGCCGCGACUUUCUAGAAGCGGCGGCGCGGCCACUUCUGCGCGCUCCUCCGGCCCCGUCAAGUGAAGACAAGUGGAACGAUCACGCGCGUGUCGGUGUCCCGGGGAAGAUUGAAUUUUGGAUCGCUGAAGCGACGCGCUGCUGGGAACGUUUGAGUUUAUGGAUCUGUGAUUGACAAGAAGCUUUAUGUUUGAAUAUUGUUUAUUUUUAUUAUUUAAGUAUCAGUUACAUAUUGUUCGUUAACUCAUUUAUUCGUUUAUUCUUCGGUAAGACAUUGAAUGACGUAACAGUCUAGAUAGCGUUGAUUUUGUGUACGAGUUCUCAUGACCUGGCAAGUCAAAACAAACAAUUGAAAAAACAGAGUGUGCGGUAAUCUGUUAAGGUUUUUGUAUACGUCGUUAUUUACAUUAACCGCCAAAGGGAUUUGCCGGUCGUUUCCUGAGCGUGACCCAAAUUACCUGUAAACCCCCACCAUAAAAUUGUAAACCCCUAAUCGGACAUGUUCCCCAUAACUCUAAGCUCAGUUCGCUUUCGUCGGUCAACCGGUUCACAAGUCGCAACUGUUUAAAAUAUUAAUAUUAAAUAAUUCCAAAUCUUUGUCGUUACUAAUAACAAUUUCUAAUUUCAAUAUCUUCUUUUUUCUCGCGUUUAUUCAAAACAACGCAUACACGCACGCUACACCCAUACACAUGCACGCACAUCCAUGAAGUUUACAUCAAUAUUAACCUACACGUCUACACUAGCAAAUCAUUGUCGCUACUAAUAACAAUUUCUAACGACAGCGCUACGUUCGACAAGCGUUCACAGUUUCUCAGAAUACUGGAAAAGCAAGAUCCAUCACUUCCUUUCCAAAGUGCGUGAACGAGUGGGUGAAUAUAACGAACUUCGUUCCGCCAAGUGAAACCGGACACACAUUGUUCGGUCUCGCAUAGAAGCAGAUCGUGUACAAAGACAUUUCCAGCUCGGGCAUUGUGCCCACGAAUAUUGUCCUGUUCGUUUGGACGAGUCCGUCCAUUUCGAAGUUCAGCGUCAACAAAGAGGCGGUCUGGAAGAUAAAAGAAACGCGUUACACGAUGAACAUUGUGCCUCUGGCGUUGACGAUAUUAUCUAGCGUUUGUUUGGUCGCUUACAUUUCCAAGGUUCAGCUUAUCUACCCAUCCUAUAUAUUUUAUACUGUUCGUGGACUCUUUGACCGCGAAGUGCAGCCAGUCUUGAACACCCAUGAUCGACACGCCGUAGUUCUCGGAGUCGAAUAUACGCUCGAAUCCACACGUGCUUCCGCCGAACACUGUGAACCAAAUACGACGGAGGACGUCUCUUCUCUCGAAAUCGUCGGGAUCGAUGAAUCCACGAUCCGCUAGCCAUUGCAUGGCUGACGCCAUAACAUCUGUAUUCAAGUACGUGUCCAACAGGAGAUUCUCCUGUUCUCGUAAAUCCUUCGUGCGGUUCAGUUUCCUCUGGAAAUGAUGCUCGUAGCGAUCGUAUAAAGCGCGCGUUACGUAAAUCGUGGGAUAUUCCAGGAGUUCCGGUUCUAUCUUCAAUAAUCUGUGAAAUAAUUACAAGCACACGUGACCAGAUAGUCUAAACAUUAGCGGUGCUGUAAAUAAUAACUGCGACUCGACGCUUACCGUUGCGUAGCUCUGCCUGUUACGUUGGGAGAUGUGCGCUGCUGCAGAUUUAAUUUUAUGUAUUUUGAUAUAUCGAGCGAUCUGGCGAACAGAGUUUCCGUUAUCGUGAAGAGUUCGGCAUCGGAAAAUCUGUAGAACAUUGCGUUGUUAGCAGCGGUAGGAUUAAUAGUCGAAUUCCCUUGAUUGCUUGUUGAUACGUUAGAUUGUGUAGGUAGAGCCGCGUUGCCAAUCGUGGGAUUUAUCGCACUACUCGUGCUAGACGUUCCAGAUGGCCUAUUAUUAAUAUAAUUAUUGUAAGUUAUGUGAGUUACGGAUGGUGAACCGUUGUCCGGUCUACUUUCGACGUGAUGAGGAUAAGGGUUUAUCACUCUUCUCAUUACUUCUGCGACGAAGGAGUGUACCGCUGCCUCUUUAACCAUUUGUCCUAUACCAUAGUCUUGUCCUGUUGACAUUAUCACCGUCUGACUAGAUACAAACGGUUGCGUUGCAGGUUGCGUAAACAUGUACGGUUGCUGCGGAUAGUAAGUUUGUCCAGGUGAACCGUGAACGGUCCCGGGAGGGUGGAGACCGUGUGAGUUUCCCAUUGGCAUCGAGCUUGGGUAGGAAUUAGGAUAAGAUGAUGAUUGCUGAAGCACGUUUUGUUUGAAUCCGAUUGGAGGAGGUGUGACGCCCGGUGCAACAUUUCCCUGCUGAGGUCUCCACGGAGGAUAUAUUGGGACUGGUGCAAUGGUACUAAAAUGCGGAUUACUCCACCCAUUGCUUGUUGGACUUGGCGUUACUGAUCCCUUGUUAUCGAAAGCACGACUUCUCCAAAGGGAAUGCGCUGAAUCUGAAGAGUGGUCCGUAUUAACCGGUGCUGGUGGCGCAGAUGGUGUAUGAAGAUUUGGAGCUGAAGAAUAACAACACUUUUACACUUCACAAUCGCAAUGGUGUAGUCUGUAUUUCAAGGUAUGUUAAAUUUACUUGGUUUUUUAGCUCCACCGCCUUCAGCAUUUAAGAAGUCUUGGUUGAUGUUUUUAGUGUGCUGCUGUGUUGUCCGGCCUGAAAUUGUGAGAAAGAGUUGGUGCAUUCAAAAGGCUUGGUAGUAACAAAUGUAAGCAACAAUGUAAGAUACUGGAUAAUAUAUGAGUAACAGAAGAACCGCUUGACGAGGUUUCUAAUUUAUUACCUGUGGAUAACCCGUAACCAGCUCCAUAUGAUCCGUGAUUAUUUGUAGUAGGUGAUCCGUGAUUAUUUGUAGUAGGUGAUCCGUGAUUAUUUGUGGUAGGUGAUCCGUGAUUAUUUGUGGUAGGUGAUCCGUGAUUAUUUGUAGUAGGUGAUCCGUGAUUAUUUACAGAUGAUCCGUGAUUACUUGUAGGUAAUCUAUGAUUACUUGUAGGUGAACUGUGACUACUUGUAGAUGAACUGUGACUACUUGUAGAUGAACUGUGACUACUUGUAGGUGAACUGUGACUACUUGUAGAUGACCUGUGGCUACUUGUAGAUGAUCUGUGACCACUCCGAGAAAAUGUAGUUCCACGAGACGAUCCAAACUUUAUUUUUGGAAAUUUUAUUGAAAGUCCUUUUGCACUGACAUUAUC